AUGUCAGUGGAAGCUUUGGCAAUGGCAGGUGUAGACUAUAACAUGUGUUAUAUCAACCUUGAAGAGAUGGAUGGUGGAGACUCGGCCAAUGCACCACAGUAUCUUCUAGCCGAGGAAAAACCAAAGGAUGAAAGUGAAAUGAACGAGAAGAAAGAGUUGAUGGUAGAAAAACAACCACAGGUAAAGGAAAAUUUGAAAGCAUGGGCUACAGUUCCCCACUUUCAUGCCGUGGUUAUACAAGAUUGCCGGGAAGCCAUCUAA
rnacentral:lncRNA from 1 species